GUGGAUUAGAUACCCUGGUAGUCCACGCUGUAAACGAUCGGUACUAGAGAUGGUGGGAGUUGACCCCUGCCGUCUCGGAGCUAACGCAAUAAGUACCGCGCCUGGGAAGUACGGUCGCAAGACUAAAACUCAAAGGAAUUGACGGGAGCCCGCACAAGCGGUGGAUUAUGUGGUUUAAUUCGAAGCAACGCGCAGAACCUUACCUAGGUUUGACAUCCUUUGACAACUACAGAGAUGUAGCUUUCAUAGCAAUAUGACAAAGAGACAGGUGCUGCACGGCUGUCGUCAACU
rnacentral:rRNA from 1 species